CAGUCGCCACGGUAAUACGAAGGGGGCUAGCGUUGUUCGGAUUUACUGGGCGUAAAGCGCACGUAGGCGGAUCGAUCAGUCAGGGGUGAAAUCCCAGAGCUCAACUCUGGAACUGCCUUUGAUACUGUCGAUCUGGAGUAUGGAAGAGGUUAGUGGAAUUGCGAGUGUAGAGGUGAAAUUCGUAGAUAUUCGCAGGAACACCAGUGGCGAAGGCGGCUAACUGGUCCAUAACUGACGCUGAGGUGCGAAAGCGUGGGGAGCAAACAGGAUUAGAUACCCCUGUAGUCCCUGUCUCUUAUAC
rnacentral:rRNA from 1 species